UACUCUAUAGCUCAGUGGUUAGAGCACUGGUCUUGUGAACCAGGGAUCGUGAGUUCAGUUCUCACUGGGGUCUAA